rnacentral:rRNA from 1 species
AUGAACGCUAGCGACAGGCUUAACACAUGCAAGUCGAGGGGCAGCACAGGUAGCAAUACCGGGUGGCGACCGGCGCACGGGUGAGUAACGCGUAUGCAACUUGCCUAUCAGAGGGGGAUAACCCGGCGAAAGUCGGACUAAUACCGCAUGAAGCAGGGAUCCCGCAUGGGAAUAUUUGCUAAAGAUUCAUCGCUGAUAGAUAGGCAUGCGUUCCAUUAGGCAGUUGGCGGGGUAACGGCCCACCAAACCGACGAUGGAUAGGGGUUCUGAGAGGAAGGUCCCCCACAUUGGUACUGAGACACGGACCAAACUCCUACGGGAGGCAGCAGUGAGGAAUAUUGGUCAAUGGCCGAGAGGCUGAACCAGCCAAGUCGCGUGAGGGAUGAAGGUUCUAUGGAUCGUAAACCUCUUUUAUAAGGGAAUAAAGUGCGGGACGUGUCCCGUUUUGUAUGUACCUUAUGAAUAAGGAUCGGCUAACUCCGUGCCAGCAGCCGCGGUAAUACGGAGGAUCCAAGCGUUAUCCGGAUUUAUUGGGUUUAAAGGGUGCGUAGGCGGCCUUUUAAGUCAGCGGUGAAAGUCUGUGGCUCAACCAUAGAAUUGCCGUUGAAACUGGGGGGCUUGAGUAUGUUUGAGGCAGGCGGAAUGCGUGGUGUAGCGGUGAAAUGCAUAGAUAUCACGCAGAACCCCGAUUGCGAAGGCAGCCUGCCAAGCCAUUACUGACGCUGAUGCACGAAAGCGUGGGGAUCAAACAGGAUUAGAUACCCUGGUAGUCCACGCAGUAAACGAUGAUCACUAGCUGUUUGCGAUACACUGUAAGCGGCACAGCGAAAGCGUUAAGUGAUCCACCUGGGGAGUACGCCGGCAACGGUGAAACUCAAAGGAAUUGACGGGGGCCCGCACAAGCGGAGGAACAUGUGGUUUAAUUCGAUGAUACGCGAGGAACCUUACCCGGGUUUGAACGCAUUCGGACCGAGGUGGAAACACCUUUUCUAGCAAUAGCCGUUUGCGAGGUGCUGCAUGGUUGUCGUCAGCUCGUGCCGUGAGGUGUCGGCUUAAGUGCCAUAACGAGCGCAACCCUUGCCACUAGUUACUAACAGGUAAAGCUGAGGACUCUGGUGGGACUGCCAGCGUAAGCUGCGAGGAAGGCGGGGAUGACGUCAAAUCAGCACGGCCCUUACAUCCGGGGCGACACACGUGUUACAAUGGCGUGGACAAAGGGAAGCCACCUGGCGACAGGGAGCGAAUCCCCAAACCACGUCUCAGUUCGGAUCGGAGUCUGCAACCCGACUCCGUGAAGCUGGAUUCGCUAGUAAUCGCGCAUCAGCCAUGGCGCGGUGAAUACGUUCCCGGGCCUUGUACACACCGCCCGUCAAGCCAUGGGAGCCGGGGGUACCUGAAGUCCGUAACCGCGAGGAUCGGCCUAGGGUAAAACUGGUGACUGGGGCU